UGUUACAAUGGGGGGUACAGAGGGCCGCUACCACGCGGGUGGAUGCCAAUCCCCAAAACCUCUCUCAGUUCGGACUGGAGUCUGCAACCCGACUCCACGAAGCUGGAUUCGCUAGUAAUCGCGCAUCAGCCACGGCGCGGUGAAUACGUUCCCGGGCCUUGUACACACCGCCCGUCAAGCCAUGGGAGCCGGGGGUACCUGAAGUGCGUAACCGCGAGGAGCGCCCUAGGGUAAAACUGGUGACUGGGGCUAAGUCGUAACAAGGUAUC
rnacentral:rRNA from 1 species